rnacentral:antisense_RNA from 1 species
AGAAGGGCUUCCGGAACGGCAACGUUUUGGGGGCCUUUUCUUUUGC